rnacentral:rRNA from 1 species
ACGCUGGCGGCGUGCCUAAUACAUGCAAGUCGAGCGGACAGAAGGGAGCUUGCUCCCGGAUGUUAGCGGCGGACGGGUGAGUAACACGUGGGUAACCUGCCUGUAAGACUGGGAUAACUCCGGGAAACCGGAGCUAAUACCGGAUAGUUCCUUGAACCGCAUGGUUCAAGGAUGAAAGACGGUUUCGGCUGUCACUUACAGAUGGACCCGCGGCGCAUUAGCUAGUUGGUGGGGUAAUGGCUCACCAAGGCGACGAUGCGUAGCCGACCUGAGAGGGUGAUCGGCCACACUGGGACUGAGACACGGCCCAGACUCCUACGGGAGGCAGCAGUAGGGAAUCUUCCGCAAUGGACGAAAGUCUGACGGAGCAACGCCGCGUGAGUGAUGAAGGUUUUCGGAUCGUAAAGCUCUGUUGUUAGGGAAGAACAAGUGCGAGAGUAACUGCUCGCACCUUGACGGUACCUAACCAGAAAGCCACGGCUAACUACGUGCCAGCAGCCGCGGUAAUACGUAGGUGGCAAGCGUUGUCCGGAAUUAUUGGGCGUAAAGGGCUCGCAGGCGGUUUCUUAAGUCUGAUGUGAAAGCCCCCGGCUCAACCGGGGAGGGUCAUUGGAAACUGGGAAACUUGAGUGCAGAAGAGGAGAGUGGAAUUCCACGUGUAGCGGUGAAAUGCGUAGAGAUGUGGAGGAACACCAGUGGCGAAGGCGACUCUCUGGUCUGUAACUGACGCUGAGGAGCGAAAGCGUGGGGAGCGAACAGGAUUAGAUACCCUGGUAGUCCACGCCGUAAACGAUGAGUGCUAAGUGUUAGGGGGUUUCCGCCCCUUAGUGCUGCAGCUAACGCAUUAAGCACUCCGCCUGGGGAGUACGGUCGCAAGACUGAAACUCAAAGGAAUUGACGGGGGCCCGCACAAGCGGUGGAGCAUGUGGUUUAAUUCGAAGCAACGCGAAGAACCUUACCAGGUCUUGACAUCCUCUGACAACCCUAGAGAUAGGGCUUUCCCUUCGGGGACAGAGUGACAGGUGGUGCAUGGUUGUCGUCAGCUCGUGUCGUGAGAUGUUGGGUUAAGUCCCGCAACGAGCGCAACCCUUGAUCUUAGUUGCCAGCAUUCAGUUGGGCACUCUAAGGUGACUGCCGGUGACAAACCGGAGGAAGGUGGGGAUGACGUCAAAUCAUCAUGCCCCUUAUGACCUGGGCUACACACGUGCUACAAUGGACAGAACAAAGGGCUGCAAGACCGCAAGGUUUAGCCAAUCCCAUAAAUCUGUUCUCAGUUCGGAUCGCAGUCUGCAACUCGACUGCGUGAAGCUGGAAU